AGAGUUUGAUCCUGGCUCAGAUUGAACGCUGGCGGCAGGCCUAACACAUGCAAGUCGAGCGGAUGAAGGGAGCUUGCUCCCUGAUUUAGCGGCGGACGGGUGAGUAAUGCCUAGGAAUCUGCCUGGUAGUGGGGGAUAACGUUCCGAAAGGAACGCUAAUACCGCAUACGUCCUACGGGAGAAAGCAGGGGACCUUCGGGCCUUGCGCUAUCAGAUGAGCCUAGGUCGGAUUAGCUAGUUGGUGAGGUAAUGGCUCACCAAGGCGACGAUCCGUAACUGGUCUGAGAGGAUGAUCAGUCACACUGGAACUGAGACACGGUCCAGACUCCUACGGGAGGCAGCAGUGGGGAAUAUUGGACAAUGGGCGAAAGCCUGAUCCAGCCAUGCCGCGUGUGUGAAGAAGGUCUUCGGAUUGUAAAGCACUUUAAGUUGGGAGGAAGGGCAUUAACCUAAUACGUUAGUGUUUUGACGUUACCGACAGAAUAAGCACCGGCUAACUUCGUGCCAGCAGCCGCGGUAAUACGAAGGGUGCAAGCGUUAAUCGGAAUUACUGGGCGUAAAGCGCGCGUAGGUGAUUCGUUAAGUUGGAUGUGAAAGCCCCGGGCUCAACCUGGGAACUGCAUCCAAAACUGGCGAGCUAGAGUACGGUAGAGGGUGGUGGAAUUUCCUGUGUAGCGGUGAAAUGCGUAGA
rnacentral:rRNA from 1 species